UUCUUUUUCUGGAAUUUCCAUUAAAGAGGCCUUGGAAGAUCACCUGAAAAGUAAUCGGACCGCAGCACCACCGAUCUGCAACAUAUCUGCCUUCGUCUGACUAUAGUGACGUAAUCUGUGAGUGCGUCUGACAUCAGCACGGAGACUAUGAGCAGCAACUACAGCGUCACACUCUUAGGUCCUGCUCCCUGGGGCUUCAGGCUGCAGGGAGGGAAGGAUUUCAACAUGCCACUCACCAUUUCCAGGCUGACAGAAGGGGG